CCUUUAUGGAGAGUUUGAUCCUGGCUCAGGACGAACGCUGGCGGCGUGCCUAAUACAUGCAAGUCGAGCGGAUCUCUGAUGGAGCUUGCUCCUGAAGAGAUUAGCGGCGGACGGGUGAGUAACACGUAGGCAACCUGCCCUGAAGACCGGGAUAACAUUCGGAAACGAAUGCUAAGACCGGAUAGGCAACUUAGUCGCAUGACUUGGUUGAGAAACACGGUGCAAGCUGUGGCUUUGGGAUGGGCCUGCGGCGCAUUAGCUAGUUGGUGGGGUAACGGCUCACCAAGGCGACGAUGCGUAG
rnacentral:rRNA from 1 species